AUGCAAGUCGAGGGGUAGAGUUCUUCGGAAUUUGAGACCGGCGCACGGGUGCGUAACGCGUAUGCAAUCUGCCUUCCACAGAGGGAUAGCCCAGAGAAAUUUGGAUUAAUACCUCAUAGCAUUACAGGAUGGCAUCAUCCGGUAAUUAAAGUCACAACGGUGGAAGAUGAGCAUGCGUCCCAUUAGCUAGUUGGUAAGGUAACGGCUUACCAAGGCGACGAUGGGUAGGGGUCCUGAGAGGGAGAUCCCCCACACUGGUACUGAGACACGGACCAGACUCCUACGGGAGGCAGCAGUGAGGAAUAUUGGUCAAUGGGUGCAAGCCUGAACCAGCCAUGCCGCGUGCAGGAUGACGGUCCUAUGGAUUGUAAACUGCUUUUGUACGGGAAGAAACACUGAUUCGUGAAUCAGCCUGACGGUACCGUAAGAAUAAGGAUCGGCUAACUCCGUGCCAGCAGCCGCGGUAAUACGGAGGAUCCAAGCGUUAUCCGGAAUCAUUGGGUUUAAAGGGUCUGUAGGCGGUCUUGUAAGUCAGUGGUGAAAGCCCAUCGCUCAACGGUGGAACGGCCAUUGAUACUGCAGGACUUGAAUUACCGGGAAGUAACUAGAAUAUGUAGUGUAGCGGUGAAAUGCUUAGAUAUUACAUGGAAUACCAAUUGCGAAGGCAGGUUACUACCGGUGGAUUGACGCUGAUGGACGAAAGCGUGGGGAGCGAACAGGA
rnacentral:rRNA from 1 species